CAGUUCAUUCUGGUUUUGCCUUCUUUCGUUUUUCUUCUUCGUCUUCUCAAAUCUUUCGCGUUUACGGUUUCUUCGUUGGCAGGAUUCGAACGAAAGCCACGAGACUACGUGAUUCAACCCGAAUACGAUCCGAAUCAGGAAGCUCCUUCCAACAUCUUUCAUCCCCAAUUUCAAAGUUCUUCUCUUUUUGGCUGAUGCUUUGCUUCAAUGGCCUCUCUAUCGGUAUGUUGUUGAUUCUCCAAGGCUAUAAUAAUCUGUAACUAAACUUGCUUGGAGCUGGAGACUUGUUUACUUCGAUGGUGUAUAACCUGAAAAUAAGAUUAGGGUUUGGGUUUUCUGUUGUGACUACAUCAUCCCCUGGGUUGAAAUUUCUCUCAAGUCAUUAGGGUUUUCGGAUACAUUUGGUCUGUUAAAGAAGAAGAAAAGGUCUUGGCUUUUGGAGGAUAAUGUGUAUAUUGUGCGUUAUACAAAAGUGGUCUCGUCAGGUUGCAACGAUGCUGCCUUGGUUUGUCAUUCCUUUGAUUGGACUAUGGGCUCUCUCUCAGCUUCUUCCACCUGCUUUUCGUUUUGAGAUUACUUCUCCAAGGCUUGCUUGUGUGUUUGUGCUCUUGGUUACUUUGUUCUGGUACGAGGUUUUGAUGCCUCAGCUGUCUACUUGGAGGGUACGUAGAAAUGCCCAACUCAGGGAGAGAGAGAGAUUAGAAGCUAUUGAACUGCAAAAGCUAAAGAAAAAUGCGACAAGGCGUUGUCGUAACUGCUCAACACCUUACAGGGACCAAAAUCCAUGUGGUGGGAAAUUUAUGUGUUCGUAUUGUGGGCAUGUAUCAAAACGCCCUGUUUUAGACAUGGCCUUGUCUUCCGGAUUAGAGAUUUCUGGUUCAGGGAUUUUGAAGGAUCUUGUUGGAAAAAGUGGAAAGAUGUUGAAUGGGAAGGGAUGGAGUGAGAAUGGAUAUUUGCACAGGCAAGAGUGGUCUGACAGCAACACAUGGAAUAGCGGGUCAAGCUAUUGGCGGAAUAAUAGUGGUGGUACAUUUGAAGGAGAUGAAAAUUGUUUGGUGGAAAAAUCAUACUCUGGUGGUGUUGUUUUUGCUUGCAGGUUGCUGACUUCUUUUUUCAUGACCAUUUUGUGGCUUUGGAAAAAGAUAUUUAGAUUUAGCUCAUCAGCUGAUGAUUCGUCACUUGACCCUGAUCAGAGGCGGUUGCUAGCUAGGCAGGGUGAGAACGGGACCAGCUAUCAUGAAAGUAGGGUAGAAAAAGCACGUAGAAAAGCAGAGGAGAAAAGACAAGCUAGGCUAGAAAAAGAGCUUUCAGAGGAGGAAGAAAGAAAACAAAGAGAAGAAGUCGCAAGACUAGUAGAGGAACGGAGAAGGCUGAGAGAUGAGAUACUUGAGGCCGAGAAAUGCAGCAAAUUAUCAGUGGCUGCUAAGGAGGCAGAAAAGAAGCGUCAGCAGAGAAGAAAAGAGAGAGAUAGGGCCUCAAGUAAGAGCAAUUCUGAUGGUGAAGAGGUUGACAAGAGAACAAGAAAGGAAACUGAGCAGAAGCGUGGGCUUAAUAAGAGCGAUCAUCUGGAACACGCACCUGAUAAUUUAAGGGGCCUCAACAUGGAAAGGAGACAUGGACAUGGUUUAGAGAAUAAUGUCACUAGUAACGGUACAAAAUCUGGUGGUAGGUACUUUGAUCGAAUGAAGGGUACAUUUUUGUCUUCUUCAAAGGCUUUUACUGAUAGUCGUUUAUUUGGGAGAGGUGUUUAUACUUCUGCUACAGUUGCAAAAGAAAACAAGCCCAUUGGUUCUACAGAUAAUUCUCACACCUAUGCUCAUUCGCAUAUCAAUCCUCCUGAAUUUGUGGCUAUGAAAUCUGUCCCAAAUGAAGAGGAAAGGAACACUAAUAAUCCAGUUGUUUCUGAGCCAACGCCGAGUAGAGAACCUAGAAAAUCAUGGCACCAACUGUUUGCCCGUUCAACUCCUGUUCCUGUUUCCUCGAAUGUUAAUACUAUAAGUAGACCUAGUACGAAUCCCCAGCCAAUUGUUCAGAGCUCACAGGUUACCAGUCAAGUUUCCUCAAUACGAACCUUCGACAAUCCUAUCAGUUUUGGGCUCCCAUCGCCAUUCACCAUACCGGUGUACUCUAGUGGAUCCACUACCAGUAGUUUAGGUUUCUCACAUCCAACAGAGAUUGUUUUUCAUCAACCCGGAGAAGAUGAGCGUUUUGAAGAUCCUUGUUAUGUUCCGGAUCCAAUAUCUCUUCUGGGACCUGUUUCAGAAUCACUUGAUUUAAGAGCUGCUGGGUAUGAAACUCGCAUAGGACAGGUAAAAUACCAUGCGAUGAAGAAUACACCUUCUUGUGAAGCCAGCAAGCCAUCUCCAAUUGAAUCUCCCUUGUCUAGAUCACGGGCUGCGGAUGAAAAGCAAGCUAAUGAUGGAAGCUGGCAAAUGUGGAAGAGUCCCCUAGGCCAAAACAGUCUCGGUUUAGUUGGUGGGUCAGCAAAUUGGAUUAUACCUUCUGAAACAAGUAGAUCUAACGAGGAAAUUGCUAUGCACCAUGUGCCUCAGCACAGAACAGAAUCAUUAUUUUCAAAAGAGGAUUGUCAGCUUCAUCAAGGUGCUUAUUCACAAAGGAAGGACUGUCUUGAACAUGAUCAGAGAGAUGGCGUUUUCAGCCCCAUCAGUGGUCCAACCACUACUGAUCCUUGGUCACAGAAAAUGUUCUUCCCUGCAUUAUCUGGCAUUGAGAGUCCUUUUUCUUUCACCACACAAACAGAAAGCAUCUUGAACAAUGUGGCGGCGUACAGAAGUCCAACAGGAUCUGCUCCAGACAAUCCAUUUGAACAUCCGUCUCCUAAUCACUGGCUCAAGAAGGUGAAGAGCUCAGGGGAUGGGAUUGGGAAGCAAUUUGUGGCGGGCGGUGAAGUUGAGAACCACCAAAAAGAUGUAGAAUCGUUUUGGUAGUAACAAAAUGAGGUCAAAUUUUUUGCAGAAACACACACGUUGACUGUGUCUGUCUGUCUGUCUCUGUCUUUGUCCUCUCGGGUCUUCAAUGGAGAUUUAAGAGUUUUUACUUGAAACAUCUCCGAUGAACACUCGCUAAUCAGGUAAAAGGGAGUGACCUGUACGUCCUUUUUUCUGGAAAUUUCUUAGUACAAGACGUAAUGAAGAUUUUCUAUCUUUUUUUUCAGACUUGUGAUUGAUUCUGAGACUUCAUUUUGGUCUUUUUUGGAUUUUUAUCAAUAAAAAUAAUUUAGCCA